CCUACGGGUGGCAGCAGUGGGGAAUAUUGGACAAUGGGCGAAAGCCUGAUCCAGCCAUGCCGCGUGUGUGAAGAAGGCCUUCGGGUUGUAAAGCACUUUCAGUGGGGAAGAAAGCCUUGGGGCUAAUACCCUCGAGGAAGGACAUCACCCACAGAAGAAGCACCGGCUAACUCCGUGCCAGCAGCCGCGGUAAUACGUAGGGUGCGAGCGUUAAUCGGAAUUACUGGGCGUAAAGCGCGCGUAGGCGGUCUGAUAAGCCGGUUGUGAAAGCCCCGGGCUCAACCUGGGAACGGCAUCCGGAACUGUCAGGCUAGAGUGCAGGAGAGGAAGGUAGAAUUCCCGGUGUAGCGGUGAAAUGCGUAGAGAUCGGGAGGAAUACCAGUGGCGAAGGCGGCCUUCUGGACUGACACUGACGCUGAGGUGCGAAAGCGUGGGUAGCAAACAGGAUUAGAUACCCGAGUAGUC
rnacentral:rRNA from 1 species